rnacentral:rRNA from 1 species
UUGGAGGGCAAGUCUGGUGCCAGCAGCCGCGGUAAUUCCAGCUCCAAUAGCGUAUAUUAAAGUUGUUGCAGUUAAAAAGCUCGUAGUUGAAUUUCGGGAUCAAUAUUUCGGUCAUGCCGUUGGUAUGCACUGUUAUCAUUGAUUUCUCACCUUCUAAAGAACCGUAAUGCCAUUAAUUUGGUGUUACGGGGAAUUAGGACUGUUACCUUGAAAAAAUUAGAGUGUUUAAAGCAGGCUCACGCUUGAAUACAUUAGCAUGGAAUAAUGAAAUAGGACAUCCGAUUCUAUUUUGUUGGUUUCUAGGAUCGAUGUAAUGAUUAAUAGGAAUAGUUGGAGGCAUUAGUAUUCAAUUGUCAGAGGUGAAAUUCUUGGAUUUAUUGAAGACUAACUACUGCGAAAGCAUUUGCCAAGGAUGUUUUCAUUAAUCAAGAACGAAAGUUAGGGGAUCGAAGGCGAUCAGAUACCGUCGUAGUCUUAACCAUAAACUAUGCCGACUAGGGAUCGGAUGAUGUUAAUUUUUUAAUGACUCAUUCGGCGCCUUACGGGAAAC